UUUCCGUGGUGGAACCAUCUCGAAAACUUCAUCCCGCGAUUCAUCGUUUUAGUCUUCUCACUUCGUUCGUUGUGGUCAACGAGCUGUCGGGUCUACUCGACCCGCUGGACCGAGUGCCGAUUCACGAGUGUGCCCCUCGGAGUGUUACCAGUGCCAAACGUGUCCUUGCUUUAAACCGUCCCGAUCGUGUCGGUGUUUUCGAUCGAUCAAAUUGGUCACAGAUUUCGAGAUAUGAGUGCAAACGGAGUAAUUGAUUUCGGGGGGUGUUUGCAGGAAUUUGAAAAUUAGGUACUGUGAAGGUUUAAAGAUUUACCAGUUUAAAGAUUAGGCACUGUGAAGGUUUGAAGAUUUACUCAGUUUGAAGAUUUAGGUAAUUGAAAGGUAACGGUGACAAAAAGGUGUUCUCAGUUUUUCCUUUUGAAUUAGCUGGGAAUUAUGGAAUUUUGGGGAGAACGUGGUGAGAACACGGUGAGAACUGGGUCAAAGUUUUUAGGACGCUAAUUUAUAGAAAACAGAGACACCUCGAAAUUGAAUAGAAAGGUGCAUGAAGAAGAACAGCUUCCUUUAUCUAGUGUUUUGACAUGCAAAACAGCAAUCUUGAGGUCCAUUAAGUGCGCCGAGAGAAUGAGGAACUGUUGAAUUCUCUCAACAGAGUCCUCGUUACCGAAAACUC
rnacentral:misc_RNA from 1 species